rnacentral:antisense_RNA from 1 species
UAUAGCCAAAAAUCACCAAUGGAUUAACGGUAGGGUUAGUAAUAACACGAACAUCACCACCACCAGGUGCCCAAGUAUCAUAAAGACCACCAAAGAACAUGGCUUUGAUUACCAAUAAGAAAGCACCGAGUCCCAACAAAAUUAGGUGAAUACCCAAAAUGGUGGUCAUUUUGUUUUUGUCUUUCCA